GCGUCUGUGGCUCAAAGGAGUAGGGCACUGGCCUCAUAUGCCAGAGGUAGCGGGUUCAAAAACCCAGACCCA
rfam:Otolemur garnettii contig057254, whole genome shotgun sequence.